CGCUGGUUCCUUGACGCUGUGCAGAGCGAGCGCGAGAAUGGAAGGCGAACCACCAGUAAAAACAAGAAAAGAAAGACUGUGUUAGAAACUUCUACAACGAAAAAACGUCUGGAUCAAGAGCAUGCUAAAAGCAGAAUUAACAUUGGCGUUGCUUUUCCACGCUGGAGGCAACUGCGGGACUAAAAGGGUCUGAAAAAUGACGCCAUGGUUGCUAUUUUUCUUUUGGACAGAAAACCUCAGUUCAUCCCAGUCAUCAGGACCAUAUUUUGCUGUUUUCCCACAUGUCUUCAGAAGAUUCCUACAAGCAAACAGAUGUGACCAAGACGAGGCAGUGGCCACUGGUUUAAUGAUGGCUAACAAGAUCAUUGAGAGAAGCCGCCCACAGUGUCCAAAGCCUGGAGUUAUGGAAUUUUCUUCCUUAUGGAUGCCUCCUAAGAUGACUGACAUCUUUCUCAGAGUUAAUAUUAAAACUGUUAUGUAGUGACAGCUAAAGACAAUUUCUCAUCAAGAGCAGCUUAAUGCUUCAUUUGCAGCUCAGUGGGCAGAGGGAGUCGGGUUUGACACACAGUGCUCUUUUUAUUGAAUCAAAUUGUUUUGAGUCAUAAAUUAAGAAUUGAUUUAAAUCUAAUUGUAACACCAAGAAUCGGAAUCAAACUGAAUCGUGAGAUUGCCCCAAAUUCCCACCCCUACAUGGCAGUACCACCAUGUCCAAAUAAUAUUUUACCCAUGCAAUCCUAAUCUGAAUCUUUUAAUAAAUGUAUACUGAUACAGUCCAUACUACAGAUAAAUUGAGAAUUAUAUAGAAGGGAAUUAGUGCCAUUAUUCACAUUAUUGUUUAUAUUUUAGAUACACAUUAUUAUAAAUCUUUAAAACCUUAGAAGCAUUAUUGUAAAGAUCCACAGUAACCAUUUAUUUGCUUCCAUUUGGUGUUUAUUGUGAAUGGUAGGUUCAGUUGUCAUGAUUGUUGAAUUUCAACUGUCAAAAUAAAAGAUUGAAAGCAUG